rnacentral:rRNA from 1 species
GAUGAACGCUGGCGGCGUGCCUAAUACAUGCAAGUCGAGCGAACGGACGAGAAGCUUACUUCUCUGAUGUUAGCGGCGGACGGGUGAGUAACACGUGGAUAACCUACCUAUAAGACUGGGAUAACUUCGGGAAACCGGAACUAAUACCGGAUGAUAUUUUGAACCGCAUGGUUCAAAAGUGAAAGACGGUCUUGCUGUCACUUAUAGAUGGAUCCGCGCUGCAUUAGCUAGUUGGUAAGGUAACGGCUUACCAAGGCAACGAUGCAUAGCCGACCUGAGAGGGUGAUCGGCCACACUGGAACUGAGACACGGUCCAGACUCCUACGGGAGGCAGCAGUAGGGAAUCUUCCGCAAUGGGCGAAAGCCUGACGGAGCAACGCCGCGUGAGUGAUGAAGGUCUUCGGAUCGUAAAACUCUGUUAUUAGGGAAGAACAUAUGUGUAAGUAACUGUGCACAUCUUGACGGUACCUAAUCAGAAAGCCACGGCUAACUACGUG